ACGGCAGCACGGGUGCUUGCACCUGGUGGCGAGUGGCGAACGGGUGAGUAAUACAUCGGAACAUGUCCUGUAGUGGGGGAUAGCCCGGCGAAAGCCGGAUUAAUACCGCAUACGAUCUACGGAUGAAAGCGGGGGACCUUCGGGCCUCGCGCUAUAGGGUUGGCCGAUGGCUGAUUAGCUAGUUGGUGGGGUAAAGGCCUACCAAGGCGACGAUCAGUAGCUGGUCUGAGAGGACGACCAGCCACACUGGGACUGAGACACGGCCCAGACUCUUACGGGAGGCAGCAGUGGGGAAUUUUGGACAAUGGGCGAAAGCCUGAUCCAGCAAUGCCGCGUGUGUGAAGAAGGCCUUCGGGUUGUAAAGCACUUUUGUCCGGAAAGAAAUCCUUGGUUCUAAUAUAGCCGGGGGAUGACGGUACCGGAAGAAUAAGCACCGGCUAACUACGUGCCAGCAGCCGCGGUAAUACGUAGGGUGCGAGCGUUAAUCGGAAUUACUGGGCGUAAAGCGUGCGCAGGCGGUUUGCUAAGACCGAUGUGAAAUCCCCGGGCUCAACCUGGGAACUGCAUUGGUGACUGGCAGGCUAGAGUAUGGCAGAGGGGGGUAGAAUUCCACGUGUAGCAGUGAAAUGCGUAGAGAUGUGGAGGAAUACCGAUGGCGAAGGCAGCCCCCUGGGCCAAUACUGACGCCCAUGCACGAAAGCGUGGGGAGCAAACAGG
rnacentral:rRNA from 1 species